AUUGAACGCUGGCGGCGUGCUUAACACAUGCAAGUCGAACGGUAACAUGCAACUGAAGUGGCAACAUGGAAGUUGUGAUGACGAGUGGCGAACGGGUGAGUAAUGCAUCGGAACAUACCUAGUAGUUGGGGAUAACUAUUCGAAAGGAUAGCUAAUACCGAAUAAGCUCUGAGGAGGAAAGGUUGAGAUACGAAAGUACCAGUCGCUACUAGAGUGGCCGAUGUCUGAUUAGCUAGUUGGUAGGGUAAAGGCCUACCAAGGCGAUGAUCAGUAGCUGUUCUGAGAGGAAGUACAGCCACACUGGAACUGAGACACGGUCCAGACUCCUACGGGAGGCAGCAGUGGGGAAUUUUGGACAAUGGGGGCGAACCCUCGAUCCACGCAACG
rnacentral:rRNA from 1 species